GGCGGCGGGCUUAACACAUGCAAGUCGGACGAGAACGUACCCUUCGGGGUAUUAGUAAAGUGGCGAACGGGGGAGUAACACGUGAAUAAUCUGCCCUUGAGCGGGGGACAACGUGUCGAAAGACGCGCUAAUACCGCAUAAGACCACAUCUGCUACGGCGGAAGAGGUCAAAGGGGCCCUCUCCUUGGAAGGUAUCGCUUGAGGAUGAGUUCACGGCCCAUCAGCUUUUUGGUAAGGUAAUGGCUUACCAAGGCUAAGACGGGUAGCUGGUCUGAGAGGACGAUCAGCCACACUGGGACUGAGACACGGCCCAGACUCCUACGGGAGGCAGCAGUGGGGAAUAUUGGACAAUGGGGGCAACCCUGAUCCAGCCACGCCGCGUGAGUGAUGAAGGUUUUCGGAUCGUAAAACUCUGUCUUGAGGGAAGAAACCCCCGGGUUCAAAUAGGGCCCGGGCCUGACGGUACCUCAGGAGGAAGCACCGGCUAACUCCGUGCCAGCAGCCGCGGUAAAACGGAGGGGGCAAACGUUGCUCGGAAUUACUGGGCGUAAAGCGCAUGCAGGCGGUUUGCAAAGUUUCGUGUGAAAGCCCUGGGCUCAACCCAGGAUGUGCACGGAAAACUGGUAGACUAGAGUACUGGAGAAGUGGGCGGAAUUCCCGGGGUAGAGGGGAAAUUCGUAGAUAUCGGGAGGAACACCAGUAGCGAAAGCGGCUCACUUGACAGAUACUGACGCUCAGAUGCGGGCA
rnacentral:rRNA from 1 species